UUCUAACCUCUCCGCCUACGUUCUAAUCCGCCCUACAGUCUGAAUCGCCCAGCGCCUAAUGGCCCCCCCGCCGCCGCCUGAUGAAGAUUUAUCGGCUUCGGAGCCCCCGCCCCCCCGGCCCGGCCUCGCCGCACCCGGACCCCGCCGCCCGCCCGCCGCGGACACCUGAUGAAGCCGUCACCGCGGCGGGAGGGGCAGCCGGCGACCUGGACCACCGCUAGGCCGAGACCCUACCAGGCCGCCGGAGUUCCGGGAGCCAAAGAGUCCCUGAGAUCUGGGGACCCAAGGCUAGGGAGCCCCAACAGUCAACUGGACCCCUACGUCUGAAGGAGGGCUCAACCUGGAUCCAGGGCUAAGGGAGGAGGACAGAUGGGGUCUGAACCCUUGGGAAUAAAUGAGUGAG